CAUUGUUUGAUGAAAAACAAAUCUUAAAAAGCAUGAUUAGAGGAGAAGUGAGUGAAUCAACCUUAAACGCUUGAGUGACUAGAGCGUAUACACAUCUGAUGAGGGGUUCGAUU